UUGAAGGUUUCCUUCCGGGGAAGCUGGAGCCAUCAGUGAGAGACCACUCUGGAAAGGCUAGAAUCCUAAUGGUGAUCCUUGAAUCAGGACACUUGACAUUGUCAGCUAGACAGUUUUUCUGGGGCGGAAGGCUCCCAAAAGGUAACGGAGCUGUGCAAAGGUUCCCUCAGUCUGGACGGAAAUCAGACGUGGAGUGUAAAGGCAAAAGGGAGCUUGACUGCAAGACUUACAAGUCGAGCAGGAGCGAAAGCUGGCCUUAGUGAUCCGACGGUACCGUGUGGAAGGGCCGUCGCUCAACGGAUAAAAGUUACUCUAGG
rnacentral:rRNA from 14 species